rnacentral:rRNA from 1 species
GUUGUAUAGUCAAGUAAUUAAGUGCAUGUGGUGGAUGCCUUGGCAGUCAGAGGCGAUGAAAGACGUGAUAGCCUGCGAAAAGCUCCGGGGAGGCGGCAAAUAUCCUUUGAUCCGGAGAUGUCUGAAUGGGGGGGAACCCACCUACUUUAAGGUAGGUAUUGCAACAUGAAUACAUAGUGUUGCAAGGCGAACGAGGGGAAGUGAAACAUCUCAGUACCCUUAGGAAAAGAAAUCAAUUGAGAUUCCCUCAGUAGCGGCGAGCGAACGGGGAUCAGCCCAUUAAGUUAUGUGUGUUUUAGUGGAACGCUCUGGGAAGUGCGAACGUAGAGGGUGAUAUUCCCGUACACGAAAGGGCACACAUAAUGAUGACGAGUAGGGCGAGGCACGUGAAACCUUGUCUGAAUAUGGGGGGACCAUCCUCCAAGGCUAAAUACUCCUGACUGACCGAUAGUGAACCAGUACCGUGAGGGAAAGGCGAAAAGAACCCCUGUGAGGGGAGUGAAAUAGAUCCUGAAACCGCAUGCAUACAAGCAGUGGGAGCACCUUCGUGGUGUGACUGCGUACCUUUUGUAUAAUGGGUCAGCGACUUAUAUUCAGUAGCGAGGUUAACCGUAUAGGGGAGCCGUAGAGAAAUCGAGUCUUAAUAGGGCGUUUAGUUGCUGGGUAUAGACCCGAAACCAGGCGAUCUAUCCAUGAGCAGGUUGAAGGUUGGGUAACACUAACUGGAGGACCGAACCCACUGUCGUUGAAAAGCCAGGGGAUGACUUGUGGAUAGGGGGUGAAAGGCUAAUCAAGCCUGGUGAUAGCUGGUUCUCCCCGAAAGCUAUUUAGGUAGCGCCUCGGACGAAUACCAUAGGGGGUAGAGCACUGUUUCGGCUAGGGGGUCAUCCCGACUUACCAAACCGAUGCAAACUCCGAAUACCUAUGAGUACUAUCCGGGAGACAGACUGCGGGUGCUAACGUCCGUAGUCAAGAGGAAAACAAUCCAGACCGCCAGCUAAGGCCCCAAAAUCAUAGUUAAGUGGGAAACGAUGUGGGAAGGCAUAGACAGCUAGGAGGUUGGCUUAGAAGCAGCCACCCUUUAAAGAAAGCGUAAUAGCUCACUAGUCGAGUCGGCCUGCGCGGAAGAUGUAACGGGGCUAAAACUAUGUGCCGAAGCUGCGGAUGUAUACUUUGUAUACGUGGUAGGGGAGCGUUCUGUAAGCCGAUGAAGGUGUGUUGAGAAGCAUGCUGGAGGUAUCAGAAGUGCGAAUGCUGACGUGAGUAACGACAAAACGGGUGAAAAACCCGUUCGCCGAAAGACCAAGGGUUCCAGUCCAACGUUAAUCGGGGCUGGGUGAGUCGACCCCUAAGGCGAGGCCGAAAGGCGUAGUCGAUGGGAAAAUGGUUAAUAUUCCAUUACUUCUGUGUAAUGCGAUGAGAGGACGGAGAAGGCUAAAUCAGCCUGGCGUUGGUUGUCCAGGUGAAAGGAUGUAGGCAUGUAUCUUAGGCAAAUCCGGGGUACUCUAUGCUGAGAUCUGAUAGCAAGCUGUACUUGUACAGCGAAGUGGUUGAUGCCAUGCUUCCAGGAAAAGUCUCUAAGCUUCAGUUACACAGGAAUCGUACCCGAAACCGACACAGGUGGUCAGGUCGAGUAGACCAAGGCGCUUGAGAGAACUCUGCUGAAGGAACUAGGCAAAAAUGGUACCGUAACUUCGGGAGAAGGUACGCUGUUGUUGGUGAUGGAACUCGCUUCCUGAGCUGACGACAGCCGCAGAAACCAGGCCGCUGCAACUGUUUAUUAAAAACAUAGCACUCUGCAAACACGAAAGUGGACGUAUAGGGUGUGAUGCCUGCCCGGUGCUGGAAGGUUAAUUGAUGGGGUUAGCGUAAGCGAAGCUCUUGAUCGAAGCCCCAGUAAACGGCGGCCGUAACUAUAACGGUCCUAAGGUAGCGAAAUUCCUUGUCGGGUAAGUUCCGACCUGCACGAAUGGCAUAAUGAUGGCGGCGCUGUCUCCAGCAGAGGCUCAGUGAAAUCGAAAUCGCUGUGAAGAUGCAGUGUACCCGCGGCUAGACGGAAAGACCCCGUGAACCUUUACUGCAGCUUGACACUGAACUUUGACCUUACUUGUGUAGGAUAGGUGGGAGGCUUUGAAGCUGGAACGCUAGUUCCAGUGGAGCCGUCCUUGAAAUACCACCCUGGUAAUGUUGAGGUUCUAACUCUGUCCCGUGAUCCGGGACGAGGACCGUGUCUGGUGGGUAGUUUGACUGGGGCGGUCUCCUCCUAAAGAGUAACGGAGGAGUACGAAGGUGCGCUCAGCGUGGUCGGAAAUCACGCGUAGAGUAUAAAGGCAAAAGCGCGCUUAACUGCGAGACCCACAAGUCGAGCAGGUACGAAAAGUAGGUCUUAGUGAUCCGGUGGUUCUGUAUGGAAGGGCCAUCGCUCAACGGAUAAAAGGUACUCUGGGGAUAACAGGCUGAUACCGCCCAAGAGUUCAUAUCGACGGCGGUGUUUGGCACCUCGAUGUCGGCUCAUCUCAUCCUGGGGCUGAAGCAGGUCCCAAGGGUAUGGCUGUUCGCCAUUUAAAGAGGUACGCGAGCUGGGUUUAGAACGUCGUGAGACAGUUCGGUCCCUAUCUACCGUGGGCGCUGGAAAUUUGAGAGGAUCUGCUCCUAGUACGAGAGGACCAGAGUGGACGAACCUCUGGUGUACCGGUUGUGACGCCAGUCGCAUCGCCGGGUAGCUAUGUUCGGAAGGGAUAACCGCUGAAAGCAUCUAAGCGGGAAGCCUACCUCAAGAUAAGAUUUCCCUAGGACUUUAUGUCCUCUAAAGAGCCGUUCGAGACUAGGACGUUGAUAGGUUGGAUGUGGAAGCAUAGUGAUAUGUGAAGCUGACCAAUACUAAUUGCUCGUGAGGCUUGACUAUACAACACCCAAGCAGUUG